UACGUAGGGUGCAAGCGUUGUCCGGAAUUAUUGGGCGUAAAGAGCUCGUAGGCGGUUUGUCGCGUCUGCUGUGAAAACCCGAGGCUCAACCUCGGGCCUGCAGUGGGUACGGGCAGACUAGAGUGCGGUAGGGGAGAUUGGAAUUCCUGGUGUAGCGGUGAAAUGCGCAGAUAUCAGGAGGAACACCGAUGGCGAAGGCAGGUCUCUGGGCCACUACUGACGCUGAGAAGCGAAAGCAUGGGGGAGCGAACAGG
rnacentral:rRNA from 1 species